rnacentral:ncRNA from 1 species
CGACCUGAGCUCAGGCAAGGUUACNCGCUGAACUUAAGCAUAUCAUUAAGCGGUGGAAAAGAAACUAACCAGGAUUCCCCUAGUAACGGCGAGCGAACCGGGAAUAGCCCAACUUGAAAAUCUCCCCUUGGAGAAUUGUAGUCUACAGAAGCGCCCUCAUGGGCUGGCGGAACUCAAGUCGGAUCGAAUGCCGCGUCAGAGAGGGUGAUAACCCCGUCGGUUCCUGCCUAGUCCUCUCACGAGGUGCUUUCCACGAGUCGGGUUGUUUGGGAAUGCAGCCCUAAUUUGGAGGUAAAUCCCUUCUAAGGCUAAAUACUGCUGAGAGACCGAUAGCGAACAAGUACCGUGAGGGAAAGAUGAAAAGAACUUUGAAAAGAGAGUUAAAAGUGCUUGAAAUUGUUGAGAGGGAAGCGAUUAGCGCUUGUGUGUGCCCCCAGGCUUAAGUGUGCCUAACGGCCCAUUGAAUGUGCUGGGUGCUGGUCAGAGUGGGUUGUCUUGGCGGGAAAACAGUUGGGUCCACCCCGGUAACCCGGCCGAUGCCGCCGAGAUGACCAAGGCGUGAAGGUUGCUUUGUCCUUCGGGAUCCGCAUCCUAAAGACUCUGGCAGAAAAGCGUUAAUCGACCCGUCUUGAAACACGGACCAAGGAGUCUAACAUGUAUGCGAGUUGGCGGGUUGAAAACCCGUAAGCGCAAGUAACCUGACUGGUGGGAUGGCCUGUGCCUGCACCAUCGACCGACCAUGUUGCUUUUGCGAAAGGUUUGAGUGCGAGCAUACCUGUUGGGACCCGAAAGAUGGUGAACUAUGCCUGAGCAGGGUGAAGCCAGAGUAACCUCUGGUGGAGGCUUCGUAGAUGUGCUGACGUGCAAAUCGCU